CAGCCUAAAGGCAAGAAAGGAGAGUUCUACAAGGAAAUGCAUUGUUUGCAUCCAGGAGACUUGUAUCCCUACACAAGGAAGCCAUUAUUUUUAAUUAUAGACAGCAGCAACAGCUCAGCAUUUCAGAAUUUCCCCAACCUGUUUGGCCAGCCUUUAGUCUGUCUGCUCUCCCCUGAGCAAGUGCCAGUUACAAUGCAAGGUAAGAAGUGCGUACACAAAGAGAGUGCUCUCUCUCAAAUCUUGGAUGA
rnacentral:sRNA from 1 species